ensembl:lncRNA
AUCUGCAACCUUAAUUCUCCCUUGCUAGAUGAGCCCAUCCCCACCUGCUCUCCCCGGGAAGCAUGCUCCAAAGAGUCUGUCCCAGCCUCCACAGCCACAUCUGCAGUUUUCAGAGCAGCUUCCUAGCCAUACAUGACUCCAUUCUGUCCUCACAGCACUAGAAGAUCACUGAAUCCAGGGUAGGAAAGGCGCAAGCUGGGAAGCAGAUAGGAAGAAGCUGGAAGAAGACACUAGGAGCCAUAAGAACUGAAGACAUUCUUUUUUUCCACAGCAGCAAGGCAGAUAUACUUUAUUCUCUAAUGGUUGAUGCUGCAACACAACAGCAGGAAGUUUUCAGGUGGUGCUUAUACAGGUCCAUAUGCCCAGUGCUAUGAAUGAUCUCAACUGUUACAUCAUUAUUUACAAAACAUACGGAGAGAGUGAGAGGACGCGGGGUGAGAAAGCCUGACCACCACCAUCUUGCCUAGUUGUUCUUUCCCUAACCCACAACUAAAG